rnacentral:rRNA from 1 species
UACAGGGGGGGCAAGCGUUGUUCGGAAUUACUGGGCGUAAAGGGCCAGUAGGCGGCCAACUAAGUCCGACGUGAAAUCCCAAAGCUUAACUUUGGAACUGCGUCGGAUACUGGAUGGCUUGAAUUCGGGAGAGGGAUGCAGAAUUCCAGGUGUAGCGGUGAAAUUCGUAGAUAUUCGCAAGAACACCAGUGGCGAAGGCGGCUUACUGGUCCGGUUCUGACGCUGAGGCGCGAAAGCGUGGGGAGCAAACAGG